AAGCUUGCUUCCUAUGAAAUCGAGUGGGCAAACGGGUGAAGUAACGCGUAAACAACCUGCCCUUCGGAUGGGGAUAACAGCCGGAAAACGGCUGCUAAUACCGAAUACGAUCUUUUCGUCGCAUGACGGAAAAGAAGAAAAAAGGAUGGCUUCUAUACAAAAGCUAUCGCCGAAGGAGGGGUUUGCGUCUGAUUAGCUGGUUGGAGGGUAACGGCCCAACAAGGCGAUGAUCAGUAGCCGGUCUGAGAGGAUGAACGGCCACAUUGGGACUGAGACACGGCCCAGACUCCUACGGGAGGCAGCAGUGGGGAAUCUUCCGCAAUGGACGAAAGUCUGACGGAGCAACGCCGCGUGAGUGAAGAAGGUCUUCGGAUUGUAAAACUCUGUUAUACGGGACGAAAAAGGCGGAUGCCAACAGUAUCCGUCCGUGACGGUACCGUAAGAGAAAGCCACGGCUAACUACGUGCCAGCAGCCGCGGUAAAU
rnacentral:rRNA from 1 species